rnacentral:misc_RNA from 1 species
GAUGAAGAACGCAGCGAAAUGCGAUAAGUAGUGUGAAUUGCAGAAUUCCGUGAAUCAUCGAAUCUUUGAACGCACAUUGCGCCUUCUGGUAUUCCGGAAGGCAUGCCUGUUCGAGAGUCAUUAACAACCGUUUCGAUCCCUUUCUUUCAGAAAUUACAAAGAGGAAAAGGGUUUGGUUAUGGUGGAGGAGGGAAAGGGAGCGUUUAGCCUGUAAAAAAAGAGGCUGUGUUCCGCCUCCCCCCCAAAAUUGUACAGGCGGUCGUGUGCGCCCACGCAUCGAGGUGUUGUAAAAGCUGCCACGGCACUUUUCACCUGUGCAGUGCGAGAUUGGCCAGCCGGUUUAAAAACCCCUCCAAACAAUCAAAGGUUGACCUCGGAUCAGGUAGGGAUACCCGCCGAACUUAAGCAUAUCAAUAAGCGGAGGA